GAUGAACGCUGGCGGCGUGCCUAAUACAUGCAAGUCGAGCGAACGGACGAGAAGCUUGCUUCUCUGAUGUUAGCGGCGGACGGGUGAGUAACACGUGGAUAACCUACCUAUAAGACUGGGAUAACUUCGGGAAACCGGAGCUAAUACCGGAUAAUAUUUUGAACCGCAUGGUUCAAAAGUGAAAGACGGUCUUGCUGUCACUUAUAGAUGGAUCCGCGCUGCAUUAGCUAGUUGGUAAGGUAACGGCUUACCAAGGCAACGAUGCAUAGCCGACCUGAGAGGGUGAUCGGCCACACUGGAACUGAGACACGGUCCAGACUCCUACGGGAGGCAGCAGUAGGGAAUCUUCCGCAAUGGGCGAAAGCCUGACGGAGCAACGCCGCGUGAGUGAUGAAGGUCUUCGGAUCGUAAAACUCUGUUAUUAGGGAAGAACAUAUGUGUAAGUAACUGUGCACAUCUUGACGGUACCUAAUCAGAAAGCCACGGCUAACUACGUGCCAGCAGCCGCGGUAAUACGUAGGUGGCAAGCGUUAUCCGGAAUUAUUGGGCGUAAAGCGCGCGUAGGCGGUUUUUUAAGUCUGAUGUGAAAGCCCACGGCUCAACCGUGGAGGGUCAUUGGAAACUGGAAAACUUGAGUGCAGAAGAGGAAAGUGGAAUUCCAUGUGUAGCGGUGAAAUGCGCAGAGAUAUGGAGGAACACCAGUGGCGAAGGCGACUUUCUGGUCUGUAACUGACGCUGAUGUGCGAAAGCGUGGGGAUCAAACAGGAUUAGAUACCCUGGUAGUCCACGCCGCAAACGAUGAGUGCUAAGUGUUAGGGGGUUUCCGCCCCUUAGUGCUGCAGCUAACGCAUUAAGCACUCCGCCUGGGGAGUACGACCGCAAGGUUGAAACUCAAAGGAAUUGACGGGGACCCGCACAAGCGGUGGAGCAUGUGGUUUAAUUCGAAGCAACGCGAAGAACCUUACCAAAUCUUGACAUCCUUUGACAACUCUAGAGAUAGAGCCUUCCCCUUCGGGGGACAAAGUGACAGGUGGUGCAUGGUUGUCGUCAGCUCGUGUCGUGAGAUGUUGGGUUAAGUCCCGCAACGAGCGCAACCCUUAAGCUUAGUUGCCAUCAUUAAGUUGGGCACUCUAAGUUGACUGCCGGUGACAAACCGGAGGAAGGUGGGGAUGACGUCAAAUCAUCAUGCCCCUUAUGAUUUGGGCUACACACGUGCUACAAUGGACAAUACAAAGGGCAGCGAAACCGCGAGGUCAAGCAAAUCCCAUAAAGUUGUUCUCAGUUCGGAUUGUAGUCUGCAACUCGACUACAUGAAGCUGGAAUCGCUAGUAAUCGUAGAUCAGCAUGCUACGGUGAAUACGUUCCCGGGUCU
rnacentral:rRNA from 1 species